GAGGAACGAUAAUAUUGCAUCAUCCUUUGGAAUCAAUAAUUAUAGGGCAAGAAAUGAGUUUAAAAGGAUUGUUCUGAGCAAGCUAACUGAAAUAGAAAGGAAGCUUGAUGAAAGAAAUAAUAGGGAUAGACAAAAUGAAGAAAAUGCAGAUCCUGUAGAAAUAAGCUUUUCUGAAAAUUCUUCUGAAGAAAGUGAGGAUGAGGAAACUGAAGGGGAAGAGACUGAAGGCAGUGAAAGUGAUAUGACCCUUCAGCGCUUUGUUAAUAAUAAGCAAAAGAAAACUUAAAUACAUUCUCAAAAAUCCUUUAUAGUUAUUUUUUUUUUGUAUGGCUUAGAAAGCCAUCUUU
rnacentral:lncRNA from 1 species